rnacentral:rRNA from 1 species
UACGAAGGGGCUAGCGUUGUUCGGAAUCAGCUAGGGCGUAAAGGGCGCGUAGGCGGCUUUAUAAGUCGGGGGUAGAAAGCCUGUGGCUCAACCACAGAAUUGCCUUCGGAUACUGUAGAGCGUUGGAGACCGGAAGAGGUAAGUGGAACUGACGAGUGUAGAGGUGAAAUUCGUAGAUAUUCGCAAAGAACGACCAGUGGCGGAACGGCGGACU